UACCAAUGAAUGAGUUAUACAUACCUAAUAACAUACAAUAUCAUUCAAGAAUUAUUUGUUUCAUUAUUUCAAGAGAAAAUAGAAACUUUGAUGCCAUCGCAUAGCUUGCUGAGUAAUAGAGUUGCCAAUGCUUCACUUUCAACAUCAUCAUCAACAUUAACAACUAUUAAAAGGGGAUUUAUUAUGGGGAACAACAAUAAAUACGUUAACUAAUAAUCAUAUACUUACAGAGUAAAUGUGAAAUUGGAAUACUGAUCACACUGUUAAGCUCAUUCAAGGGAAUAUAAGUAACAAUAGAAAUAAUUAUGGUGAUUGGUGAACAAUAUAAAAUUGCUUACCUUAAGGUGGAAAGCUCACCAUGUAUUAGUGCAACAAAAUCAUUGAUAGAAAAGAAACUGAAAUUACAAUGCCAAUAAAAUGUUGCAGUCGUGGAAUGUCACGGGGAAUAGGAAUUUGUGUUACUAAAGCAUUUUCUUACUCUCUAGUCUCCAAAUAAAACCUUUUUUGUUGGACUUGAUAACAUGAACACAACGCUGAUGCAGAUGGAAGCAACAAUCAUAUGGACAAUCAUGGCUAGUCCACUAAAAAUGAAUCUGUGGAAUGAUGAGGAAAUUACAACUAUACCAAUAAAAAAGAACAUGUUAUUACUAAUUGGAUACAUUUUUAUAGUAAAAGGUUGUAACAGGAAGAAAUGAACGUAUGACACUAAUAGACAAACUAAAUUUGUUCUGUUUGUUGCACACCAUAGAGCCAUUUACAUAGUUGGCUAUGAGUGCACUGAAGGCCAAGUUUUGUUGUGUUUUAGGAUAUGUUCAAUGCUCUACUUCCAACCAUAAUUGAUGCAUGAUCCCUGAUAGAAAGGACAACAAAAGAAUUGCUAAAAAAAUGAAGUAAACAAGGAACAAAUUCAAGAUAAGAAUGCUUAUGAUUACUGGUUUCAAAAUAUAGAACACAAAAUGGAAUUUCAGAGAAGGAAACCUAAUGGCACAAAAAAUUGACCAUACGUAAUAUGGUUAUCUAUAUUUUCCCAAGCAAAUAAACUUGUCCAAAAGCACAAAAAAUUUAACAAGAGAAACUAUCAGUACGACUGGUAGUAGUUGAAAAUAGAAGAAAAUGCCUCAUACAAGAUGGUCAAUGUCUGUACCACAAUAACAAACAUAUGAGAGAAUACAAAUUAGUAGAAACUAAAGUUCAACUAAAAAUUUUCAAUAAUCAAACCAUACCUGAAUCCACAAUCAAGUAAUUCGUCAUCCUCCUCCACUCAACAUUGUCAUUUAUUUCUUUUUUAGAUGAUUACUUGAAUCUGAAAUUAACAGUUCCCAAAGUCUCUUGUUUCUACAUCCACAAAGUUUCCUGUUUCUACAUGUAUGAUUUUUUGCAAACGUAGGACUUUUAUAGAAAAAAUAACUUAAGGAAAUCAAACAUCAGAACAUGAUAAUUUAAGGACUAAGAGGAGUGCAGAGAUAACCCCAUAAAGAGAAUUAAAAUGAAUAUAAAAAUGAAAACCACAUACCAGUGGAGAGCAGAUGAUAGAUGGAGCGAGCGUGGAUGAUCCAACAUGUGACGUUGGGGGGAAACAUAAAAUCAACCCUUUUCCUCAUCUGCUUUUUUGUAUGGAUUUAGAAAGAAACAUCGACCGAAAUUGAUGGUGGAAGAAGGCGUGGUAGUGAUCAAUGAAACAGAAAAAACGACAUCAAUAUAGAAAAACGGAAUCGCUAUUAGAAAGAGUGAGGAGGAAAAAGAGGGAAGCGGUGGUGGGAAACGGAGUCUCAAACACGGUUGGUGACGAAUCGGUGUUGAAUGAGAGUGGAACAGACGCCUCUUACAAAGAAGGGUUAUGCGUCGGUCUGAAUGCAGGUAACGUGGCGUCCUUGUAACCUUGUGAAUUUGCUCUAGACGGCACGAGAAUGGAAGGGCUUUU
rnacentral:lncRNA from 1 species